AUGUUUUUGGAAUCCUGAAAACGAACAAAAACAUGAAGAUUAUGUGUUUUUUUUUUUUGGAAAGGGUCAUGAAGAUUAUGUCUAACAUGAAGAUGAUUGUGUUAGAACGAGAAGUUAUCCUAAAAACGACGUCGUAGUAGCGCUCCGGUCGCGCGAGAAGGCGCCAAAUGACGCCACGUAGCGGGUUCGGAUCGUGUUCUUGAUCCAACCCGAAUACUUAGGGAAUCCAAUAAAGCAGACUCCAAAUCAGAUUAGGGUUUUUGCUAAGAAAUUGAGCUCCAGAUUUUGUCAUCUUCAUCAAGUCCGAUGACGCCGCCACCGGGUCCUUACUCCGGCAAGAGCACUCUUGCUCUGGUUGCUCGUGUUUCGGCAUUGACUUUCGGUGUGGUUUACGGAAGCGUCAAGCAUAAAAUUCUCAAGUCGAAGGCCAAGUCUCUUGCCAAAGCUCAAGCAAAGGCUCAUCAUUGACGCGCUAAAGUGGCAAUGCCUGUGCUUGGAUCGUUAAUAUUCUUGCUGGAAGAACAUCUACAGUCCUGUUUUAGUUGAUAUUUAUUUGACUGAUUCAACCUUUUGUGAGCUUUAAAGUU